GGAUGUAUAGCGAAAGCUAGUUGCACUUAAUUUAGUUAAAACUAAGUUGGUGCAGGAUUGACUUUGUCGAAUAAAGUUCUAGGUGGGUUAUGAUGAUGACAUUUCCUAUCUAUGUGUCUUGACCAAAUUACGUGCCAGCAGUCGCGGUAAUACGUAGAAGACUAGUGUUAUUCAUCUUUAAUAGGUUUAAAGGGUACCUAGACGGUAAAUCAAGUCUGAGAAGGGUACUAAUUUACUAGAGUUUAAUGUGAGGGGGCAUGAAAGUACUGAUAAGUGUAGAGAUGAAAUUCUGUGAUACAAUAUAUGGCACUGGCAAAGGCGAAAGCAUCUCCUUAUGUAAUAACUGACGUUGAAGGACGAAGG
rnacentral:rRNA from 1 species